rnacentral:rRNA from 1 species
UACGAAGGGGGCUAGCGUUGCUCGGAAUCACUGGGCGUAAAGCGCACGUAGGCGGACUUUUAAGUCAGGGGUGAAAUCCUGGAGCUCAACUCCAGAACUGCCUUUGAUACUGAGAGUCUCGAGUCCGGGAGAGGUGAGUGGAACUGCGAGUGUAGAGGUGAAAUUCGUAGAUAUUCGCAAGAACACCAGUGGCGAAGGCGGCUCGCUGGACAAGUAUUGACGCUGAGGUGCGAAAGCGUGGGGAGCAAACAGG